UUAGGAAUAUUGGACAAUGGGGGCAACCCUGAUCCAGCCAUGCCGCGUGAGUGAAGACGGCCUUAGGGUUGUAAAGCUCUUUCAGGUGUGAGGAUAAUGACAGUAACACCAGAAGAAGCCCCGGCUAAAUUCGUGCCAGCAGCCGCGGUAAUACGAAUGGGGCGAGCGUUGUUCGGAAUCACUGGGCGUAAAGCGUAUGUAGGCGGAAUUGAAAGUCAGAAGUGAAAUCCCGGGGCUUAACCCCGGAACUGCUUUUGAAACUUCAAUUCUAGAGUUCUGGAGAGGCAAGGGGAAUUCCGAGUGUAGAGGUGAAAUUCGCAGAUAUUCGGAGGAACACCAGUGGCGUAGGCGCCUUGCUGGACAGAUACUGACGCUGAGAUACGAAAGCGUGGGGAGCAAACAGGAUUAGAUACCCCCGUAGUCC
rnacentral:rRNA from 1 species